GACGAACGCUGGCGGCACGCUUAACACAUGCAAGUCGAACGUGAAGCCCCGAGCUUGCUCGGGGUGGAAAGUGGCGAACGGGUGAGUAACACGUGAGAAACCUGCCCCGAAGACCGGAAUAACACCGGGAAACCGGUGCUAAUACCGGAUGCCCUCAUCGGACCGCAUGAUCCGGUGAGGAAAUGGAUUCCGCUUCGGGAUGGUCUCGCGGCCUAUCAGCUUGUUGGUGGGGUAAUGGCCCACCAAGGCUUCGACGGGUAGCUGGUCUGAGAGGAUGUCCAGCCACACUGGGACUGAGACACGGCCCAGACUCCUACGGGAGGCAGCAGUGGGGAAUCUUGCGCAAUGGGCGAAAGCCUGACGCAGCGAUGCCGCGUGCGGGAUGAAGGCCUUCGGGUUGUAAACCGCUUUCAGCAGGGACGAAAUUGACGGUACCUGCAGAAGAAGCCCCGGCCAACUACGUGCCAGCCGCCGCGGUAAAAC
rnacentral:rRNA from 1 species